UCCUUGAUACUUGAUAGAUAUUUGAUAUCUAUUAUAUAUUUUAUCUAUUUUUGUGGUUUCUUUGUCGUUUUCUUUAUUGAUUUUUAUUCAUUCUUGUUCUAUUAAUAGGUUACCAAAUUAUUGUUCUAUUUGAAGAAGAGAGUUUCCCAUCUCUUACUCGGGUACCUUCUCCAAGUUAUAAGGAACCAGAUGGAAGCCAUUGAAUUGUUAGUCUACCUUCCUCCAUUGGAGUCUGAGGCAUAGAUGGACCGAAAGGGGAAUCAUCUAGCUUUAGAUGGGGGAGGAGAGCACGACUUGUGCUAGAACUUCUUCAAGAAAUUUGACAAAUUUACGCUUCUCAACCUUACUCAUGGCUCUCGCGUCUUGAUGUUUCAAGAGUUUCUCGUGGAGGGUACGUAAGGCUAUCCCCAACUGAAUCUUUGACUGGGGGAGAGAUGAUUCCGUCAGGGAAUUUAAUGUAAAAAUUCGAAAAACAAACAGAUAACAUUAUUAUUAGAGGAAACGUUUCAAAUAAAAUAUUUAAAAUGAUAUAUUUUGUGAAAUAUUAAUUUAGAACGUUCAAUUAUUUUAAAUUAAAUGAAACACAUCUUAAGGUAGAUCAUAUCUCCAGGUUGUAUAUCUCAAUUUACUCCAAAUAAAUAUGUUAGAUUAAUAUCUCAUUUGAAGUUUACCCAAUUAAUAGAUGAGAGGUCGGAGAUCGAACGACAGGAUGAAAUUAGUGGAAUGUUUUAGAGAUUAAUUUUAUACCAUUUAAAUGAAAUAAAAGAGUACUUAUAGUAUUACAAUAUUUGUAAUUAAUUAAUUAAUUCUAAAGGAUUUUUAAUAUAAAAAUUCUAAUUGGAGAAGCGGUCUUCCGCUUCUCUCUCCGGCUCGGACCCGGUUCAUCACCGUUGGGUGAUUUUUGUUUACCGUGGUCUUCCCCCAAUUAAGUUAGGAUUUAGUUCGUCUUCUUCAACAACAACUCUUCUAAUCGUCGUGCUAUCUUCCUGGAUAGUGGAGCAGUCUAUCAGCAUCAUAUCAUCGUCGGCUUCUUCAGAUUCGGCAUUGUCUUCAAUGUUGAUAGGAGGGAAAAGACGCAACACAUCUUCAUGAAAUUCCCAAGACGAGUCCUCCGGUAUCGCUCCAUUCCAAGCGACCAGCCAUUGAUUUCUCUGUCUCGAUCUCACCCUGAAAAAUGGUACGCUUAUUAGAAUAAAUAACUUCUACUGUUUUUUUAGUUGAGUUUAAUAUUCUCAAAUACAAGUUUAUACAAUGAGUUAGCUGUUAGAGGUUAAUUAGUUUUAGAUACUCUUUCUUAUAAAUACUUUUGUAAGACUGCAUUCUUGGUUAAUGAAUUGAGUUCUUUCUUUUGAGAUUAUUGUUGAAUUGAACUUGAAACAAGCACCAAAAUCUUGGUACUCAAGACUGAGUGCAUUCCUAAUAUUAAAUGAAUUCUCUAACAGUCUGGCAGAUACAUUAUUGUUUCAAAAAAAAGAUAAUUUUUUAAUUUGAGUAAUUGUGUAUAUAUAUAGAUGACAUUAUAAUUUCAAGAAACAACAACAUUGAAAUUGAAGUUUUUAUUAAAAAUCUUUGUACUGCAUGAAUUUAGAUGUAGAGACCUAGGACUUUUGAAAUAUUUCUUUAGUAUAGAAAUUAGAUACAAUUUUGAUGGGUCACUUAACAUGACUCAAUCUAGAUAUGCAUUGAAUAUUUUAAGUAAAAACAACAUGCUAAAUUGUAAACUCAUAAGAACAUCAAUAUUGCAAAUUCCAAAUUGUCCAAAGAAAAUGGAGAAUUGUUAUAAGAUAUAGCAGCUUAUAGAGCCUUAGUUGGAUCCUUACAGUACAUACUUGGCACAAACAAGGCCCUGAUUUUAUUUAUGCAAUAAAUCAAGUGACUCAAUUUGUACAAGCUCCUAGAACUACUCACCUAGUAGCGGCCAAGAGAAUACUAAUGUAUAUAAAAUGAAUUUUAGAUCAUGGUCUUCAUUUUACCAAUACCAAAAGAACUGCCAUAAAUUGAUAGGUUUUUGUGAUGCUGAUCGAUUUUGCUGGUGAUCCAGACACCAGAAAAUCAACAACAGGCUAUUGUGUAUAUAUCGGAGGAAAUCUAGUGACAUGGUCAUCAAAGAAAUAGACAAUUAUUUCAAGAUCCAGUGCUAAGGCUCAAUAUAGAGCCUUAGCAAGUCAUACAACUGAAAUUAGAUGGACUCACUUCAUAUGUAAGGACCUUCUAUAUAAUUUACAUCAGAUACCUUUGUUAUAUACAGAUAACAGUUCAGCCAUUUUUAUGGCUAGAAACUGUUAAGUUUUGAUAUGUGUAUGAAAUAUAAUCCAAGUAUGGUUUAAUGAUUAAUCCAGAGUAAAGUAAAAUAGUGUUGAUGCAACGGAUAAUAUUGAUUGUUUAAUUUAUCUAAUGAGUAUGAUCAAGAUGUGUUGCAGGUAGAUAAUGUUUGACAGGGAUGAUAUAUAUAUGAUUUGUCCAAGUAGAUGCGGAGAUAUGUGUAUGCAUGCAAUAGAUAUCAGGUAUGAUAUAUAUAUGAAAUGUAAGCAGAUGAUUUAGCAAUACUGAGAUCGUUUGGAGAGCAAGGAGAUGACGAUGUAGGAGAGUCGAUGACUGAGUGUAGAGCAGAUCGGAGUGAAGCUGAUGAUGACUUUGAUCCACAGAUGAUGAUUAAUCCCAAAGGGAGUAUGAUUUUGAAACUUAGUAUCACAAACUGUAAAACAAUGUUAGGUUUGAGUUUGAUAUAUAUAGAUGGUUUAAAUGUUUGAUUCCAGCUUACAACGGUCAUAAGCUCAAGGUUCAACUGGCGCUUGUUGUCACUGUUGCUGAAGGCAAAGGUGACAUUAAGUGAUGGUUGGAGCUUCCUAGGAUUUUUACCAUAUUAAAGGUUUAGGUAUUAAAUUGAUCAUGUAAGGGUUUAAAUUAUAAAUUGGUUAAUGAGGGUUCAUAUUGUAAAUGUUGUAAAUGGAUUUAUGUAAUAAUUUUAUACGCCCCCUCAAAAGCGAGUUGGGCUGAAAAGAAACGAACUUUUGGACUGGUCCAUGUUCCAAUCUUUAAAUAUAAAAAGGGUUUUGUAAAUUUGAUUUUGGUUGUAAACACGAAUCGUCUUGUAGGGUUUCAGAGGGAAAUGAGGGUUUCACUGGAGGCAAGGGUUUGCUGGAGGCAAUCGUUCGGGUAUGUUUCUAGUCUUCUUCUUUUGUGCAUGUCGCUCUAUUCCUCUUGUUUAUGUUGUCUUUGGUUGGGUAUCCUUAUUCAUUUGUAUUCUUAAUGGGUUUUGUAGUGGGUGUUCUGUCUGUUAAUGUGUUUGCAUGUCAGUGUUUUCUUUCUUGGUGUUUGUUUUCCUUCAUCCAUUGUGUUUGUUUUCCUCUAUCAGUCUGUUCCGUGUAAGUUUUCCAUUUUCAGUUUCUUUUUGAGAUGAUUGAAUAGAUAUCCUGUAACAUCUUUUGUGAAGAUGUCUUCCACGUUUUCUUUGGUGUUUACCCUUUCUAUUUCAAUCUCUUUUUGUAAAGCUUUGUCUCUGAUCGUGUGUGUAUCGAUUUCUAUGUGUUUUGUUCUUAAUUUGAUGUAAGACUGGGUUUGUUGCAAUUGCAGUUGCAGAGGAACUAUUAAUUUGUAUAGAGUUUUGGAGUUACUAUAUUUACUUGCAUUUCCUUUAAUAGUUGUUUUAGCCAUGUGAUUUCACAAGUUGUGUGUGCUAAGGGUCGGUACUCUGCCUCUGCUGACGAUCUUGUUACUGUAUGUUGUUUUUUGGUUUGCCAUGAAACUAGGUUAUCAUUCAAGAAGAUGGCAAAUCCUGAUGUGGAUCGUCUGGUUGUGGGGAAAGAGGCCCAGUCAGAGUCUGAAAAUACUUUAAUCCUUGCGGUUCUUGUGCCUGAUGAGAAGAAAAGUCCACUUCCUGGUGAGUUUUUAAUGUAUCUUAAUAUUUUGUUCACCUUAGUAGAGUCUUCAUUUGUUGGUUCUGACAUGUGUUGGCUUAGUUGGUUUACUACAUAUGUUAUAUCGGGUUUGGUUACAGUUAGGUAGACAAGUUUUCCAACUAUGCAUCUGUACUCAGUAGGAUCAUCAAGUAAUUUAAUUUCCUUGUUCUGUUUGUUUGACGAUCUUGAUGGUGUAUAGAGUGGGUAUUCUCCUGGUUUAGCAUGUAGAUAGUUGUUUUGUUCAAGGAUUUCUAAUGCAUAUUUUCUUUGGCUUAUAAAAAUCCCAUGUUGUGUUGUUGUGAAUUCUAAUCCUAAGAAUUUUUUUAAUGUUCCUAGAUCUUUGAUGUUAAAAAAACUGGUUAAAUCUGUCUUAAGUUUGAUUAUUUCUUUUAAGUUAUUUCCUGUGAUUAAUAGAUCAUCUACAUAUGGUAGGAUGAAAAUUUUAUUUUUCCCAUUGAUCUUACCGAAGAGAGCAUAAUCCUCUCUUGUCUGUUUAAAACCUAAUUUGUUUAGUACUUGUUGUAGUUUGUUAAACCACAUUCUAGAUAUUUGUUUUAAGCUAUAUAGAGGUUUUGUUAAUUUGCAUGCUAGUUUGUGGUUGUCUGUUGGUUCUUUGUUGAUCCUUAGACCUUGGUGAGACAUGCCUGAUUACGACAGUCACUCCCAGCAACGCCUUUCAAUAAGGACUAGGGUUCCGUCACUUUACCCCCGGAAGGCUCCCACGGUGCGGAACAAGUUCAUCGUCAAAUCGCGAGUUAACCCGUAAAUCGCGAUUGGACUACCAAAUCGCCGAUUUUAUGGACAAAUCGUUGAGUUAGGGCCCAGAUCGGCAGUAUGGUAGACUGCAUAUCUCGCCCCUUGAAACUCGACGAGUUUACCCUAAUAGGCGAUUUUCAUACCUGAAUCGUCGAUUUACGACCGUUACUCGCCGCCAGCCAACGCCAUAAAUGAACCCAUAUAUGGCAAUAGGCCUCGAUAUCCUCCUUUGAUCGCGCCCUCCGAGACCCUAUAAAAAGGGUCCCAAGGGGACACUCAAAGGCACAACACAAGUUCCACUCUCACCAGAGCACCACUAAGAGAAUCGCCGAUUUCCACACCAGAAUCGCCGAUUCUCUCCUUUCAGGUAUUUGACGUAGAGCGCGCGUCGUGGACUCCAGAGCCUCCGGCAUCACCUCGCACUACCGCGAGCCUUGGUAGCAGAUUCAGUGCUUCAUCAGAAGGCAUUUUGAACAUCCAUCUGAUGGAGGUGCCAUCCUUGGUGAGACAUGCCUGAUUACGGCAGUCACUCCCAGCAACGCCUUUCAACAAGGACUAGGGUUCCGUCGCUUUGGCCGGACCCCCGGAGAGCUCCCACGGUGCGGAACACGUUAAUCGUCCAGAUCGCCGAGUUAGCCCGUAAGUCGCCCGAUUGGACUACCAAGUCUCCGACAUAAAGGAUAAGUCGCCGAUUUAAGGGCAAGAUCGGCAGUAUGGUAGACUGCACAUCUUGCCACUGGAAACUCGGCGAGUUAGCCCUAACUAGGCGACUUCCAUACCUGAAUCGCCGACUUACGAAAGUUACUCGCCACCAGCCAACGUCAAAAAUGUUACCAUAUAUGACCAAAGGCGCGAUGUCCGCCUUUGAUUGCGCCCUCCAAGACCCUAUAAAAAGGGUCCCAAGGGGACACUCAAAGGCAUGAUUCAAGUUCCUCUCUCACACCAGAGCAUCACUAAGAAACUCGUUGAUUCUCAUUAGAAUCGCCUAGUUUCUCCUUGCAGGUAUUUGACGUAGAGCGCGCGUCGUGGACUCCGGAGCCUCCGGCAUCACCUCGCACCACCGCGAGCCCUAGUAGCAGAUUCAGUGCUUCAUCAAAUGUUCUUCAGAAAAUCGAGAAUACAACUUGUACGUCACUGUUCUUUUAUUAUUUGGUUAUUUACAGUCUAUGGUUUUUAGUCCUUGAUAGAUAUUAGAUAUUUAAUAUUAUUUAUCUAAUAUAGGUUUUAUCUAUUUUUGUGGAUUUCUUUGUCGUUUUCUUUACAUGUCGAAUUUUAUUUAUUCUUGUUCUAUUAAUAGGUUAAUAAAUUCUUGUUCUAUUUGAAGAAGAGAGUUUCCCACCUCUUCCUCAGGUACGUACCUUCUCCAAGUUAUAACGGACCUGAUGGAGGUUAUUGAAUUCUUAAUCUACCCUCCUCCAUUAUAGUCUGGGGCAUAGAUGGGCAGGAAGGGGAAUCAUCUUUAGAUGGAGGUGAUCGCCACCACUAAGUCAGACUUUAUAACAUUCCGGUGAUGGAUAUACACUUCCGAUGUUAUAAAAUCAUAUUUAAAAAUCCAACCUUGUCUCUGAUACCAAAUGAUAGAAAUUAUCAUACUUUAUGAUCUAAGAUUUUUAUAUCAACAACCCAAUGAUCCAAGCCUGGAUUAACUUGAUAUCUUCCUAAGAGUCCAACCACAAAUGCAAUAUCUGGUCUAGUGCAUACCUGAGCAUACAUUAGACUUCCAUAAGGAAAUGCUUUCAUUUCAUUCUUCUGUAAGUCUGUUAGAGGACAUUGAGCUAAAUUCAAUUUAUCACAUUUUACAAUUGAAGCAACACUUGACUUACAUUCUGAGAGAUUAAACCUUUGUAAUAUACGAUCGAUGUAAGCUGAUUGAGAAAGACCUAACAAAUGUCUAGAUCGAUUUCUGUUGAUCUCAAUACCAAGAACAAAAGAUGCUUCACCCAAAUCUUUCAUAUCAAAUUCACUUGAUAAGAAUUUCUUUGUUUCAAAUAAUAUACUUAAAUCGUUGCAAGCAAGUAAUAUAUCAUCAACGUAUAGAACAAGCAAAACAUAUUUGCUCCCUCUGACCUUGUGAUAUAUACAUGGAUCCAUGAGAUUUUCCGAAAAACCAUAUGAAGAAAUGAUUUCAUGGAAUUUAAUAUGUCAUUGUCUUGAUGCUUGUUUAAGUCCAUAUAUAGACUUUUUAAGUCUACAAACAAGCUUGUCAUUUUCUUCAAAACCUUGUGGUUGCGUCAUAUAUAUUUCUUCAUUGAGAUUCCCAUUAAGAAAAGCGGUUUUAACAUCCAUUUGAUGUAGUUCUAGAUUGUAGUGAGCCACUAAAGCCAUAAUGAUUCUAAAAGAAUUCUUCGAGGAAACUGGUGAAAAUGUUUCAUGAUAUUCAAUUCUCUCUCUUUGAGUGAAUCCUUUGGCAACCAAUCUAGCCUUAAACCGCUAAAUCUUUCCUCUGGAAUCUCAUUUGGUUUUAAAAGCCCAUUUGCAACUCACAACUUUAACACCCUCAGGUAACUGAAUAAGUUCUCAUUCUUUAUUAUGGUACAUAGACUGCAUCUCAUCUUUCAUUUCAUCUUGCCACAAAUUAAUCACAUUGUGCACUUGCAACCGCUUGAUCAUAUGAGAUAGGGUCAACUGUACUACUACAACCAAUGUCAUAGUCGUAUUCUCCUAAAUAAACUUCAUAAUCAUUAGGGAUAGCUGAUCUUCUUUCUCGAGUAGUCCUCCUUGGUUCAAUAACUAGUGGAUCUACUGGUGUAAUAAUUGGUUCAUCAACUUGAGCAAUAACUGGUGUGUCAACGGAUGUCACUGAAGAUGUGGUUGGUUUAAUCGAAAAUAAGGGUAUAACUACUGUUAAUGGUUGAUGGUCCAAUGAAUUAGAAACCUCUGAAGUAUUAACAUCUGCUACAUCAUUUUCUAAGAAUUUUGCUGUUCGAGAAUCUACAAUUAUUGUUCCACCAUGAGGUCUAUAAAAUCGAUAUACCUUAUAAUGAUUCGGAUAUCCCACAAAAUAGCAUGUCACUGUUCUUGAAUCUAACUUGUUUAAUGUUGGAUUGUAUAAUUUCACCCCUACAGGAUAACCCCAAAUCUUCAAAUGAUUUAAACUAGGUUUUCUACCUGUCCAAAGUUCAAAAGGUGUAACUGGUACUGACUUACUUGGGACUCGAUCAAAAUAUACAAUGCUGCUUGUAUUGCUUCACCCCACAAGAAUGUUGUUAAAUUUGCUCUACUAGUCAUGCUUCUCACCAUAUCCAUUAGGGUACGAUUUCUUCUUUCUGCCGCUCCAUUCUGCUCAGGAGUUCCUGACAUAGUGUAUUGCCCAAUUAUUCCAGAUUCUUCCAAAUAUUAUGCAAAAGGACCUUUAAGUUGUCCAACAUCUCCAUGUUUACCGUAAUAUUCUACACCUCUAUCUAUCUGAUCUAACAAUCUUUAUAGAUUUUUCCAAUUGUUUCUCAACUUCUGUUUUGAAUACUUUAAAUUUCUCUAAAGAUUCAUAUUUUUCUUUGAUAAGAAACAAAUAGCCAUAUUUAGAAAAAUCAUCUAUAAAUGUUAUAAAAUAUAAGCAUCCACACAGAGUUUUAUGAUAUGGUCCACUAAUAUCCGUAUAAAUAAUCUCCAAAAGACUAGUGUUACGAGUAGCAGUCUUUUUGCCUUUCUUGGUCAUUUUCCUCUUAAGACAAUCAAUACAUUCUGCAUUGUCAUUAUCUAAAGAAGGAAGAAUGGUCGAUUUAACCAAUCUUUUAAUUCUAUCUUGUGAAAUAUGAUCUAACCUUUUAUGCCAUAACGUAUAUGAUUUUUCUUUAUUUAAGGGUCUUUUGGAAACUGUAUUUUCCACAUUACAAGCUAUAUAGAACUUCAUAGAAUCAAGACAUAAUCUGUAUAGGUCAUAAGACAAAACACAAUUACCCAUAAUCUUUGAGUUAUGAAACAUUGAAACUGUAUUGUUCUUAAAUUCAAAAGAAAAACCAUGUUUUCUUAAUUUACUAACAGAAAUUAGAUUCCGUCUAAACGACGGAGCAUACAAAGUGUCUUUCAAUGUUAAACCAAAUCCUGAAUCUAGAUUUAAAAUAACAUCGCCCACAAAUUCUAAAUCAGUUUGUCCAUCAUUUCCUACUAACAAUCUUGAUUCAUCCUGAUUUGGCUUCCUUCUAUUUGUGAAUCCCUGUAUGGUGAAUGCAACAUGAUUAGUUGCUCCACUAUCCAACAACCAAGAACUAGAUGAAGAUUCUAUUAAAUUAGAUUCAUAAACUAAUGUCAAAGAAUCAAUACCUUUUUGUUCCUGUUUUAUGAGCCAAGAUUUAAACUUUAAGCAAUUCUACUUUAUGUGUCCCGGUUUCAUACAGAAGAAACAUCCAUUGAUUGCUUUCUUGAGGGAGUUCUUGUUAGAACCAAAUUUGUCAGAUAAGUUGGUAUCCUUAGAAUCUUUAUUUUUCACAAACAUUUUGAACUUAAAUCCUUUCUUAUUUGAACUAUACAUUGUUAUCGAAGAUUUUUCGCCUUUUAUUUUAUCUCCUAUGUCUCCAAAUAAUUAUUUCUUUUAAUUCGAGCCCAGCUCGCGGGUUCGAGCCCGGGCCCAAACCUAACAAUUCUUAAAACGAGCCGAGCCCGAGCCUGGCUCUAUAAGCAAAAGCUCAACUUGUUUGACACCCUAAUCUCUGAUAAAUAUUCCGAGAAUAUUUUGCCACUUAUCUUCAAAUUCUGAAGUUUUUUGGCGUAGACUCAUCACAUACGAUCGAGAAUUAGAUGCAAAUUGCAUUUGAAGUGUUUCCCAUACCUCAUGUGCCGUAGCACAAUCAGAGACUUCCGACAGUACCGAGGGUGAAAUUGAUGAAAAUAGCCAUCCUAAAAUCAAUUGAUCUUGCUUGAUGGCAAGAGAGUUGUCCAAUUUUUCCCUACCGGCCAGAUAGUCCAUCAGCUCAUGACCUCGGAUAUUAGCCCCAAAUUGGGCUCUCCACGCGAAGUAAUUGCUGCGGUCUAGGGCUACAGUCUUGAAGUUCUUGGCGGUCACCUUUCCUGGUGCGUCGUUGCCAUAGAGCUUCUUUGCAGCCAGCGAAAUCCCUUUGUCAGCUUCGUCAAUCGACAUUGCGUAUCGGAAAAAAAUUGUGAUCGUCAACGAUCUUGGAGCGAUUCCGAUGAUCAGAGAUGUGCGGCUUCCCAAGAUCAGCUAGGCGAAAGGUACCAUAACAGUGAAUUGAAAUAUAUGAAUGGGGAAAGCCAAACUCGAUCCCUUUCAUAUUCAAUAGAAAGAUCUAUUUAUACAAUUUGUUACUCUAAUAUCCUAUUUGUUUGUUCUUUUGUAUUAUCGAUAUUUAUUGUCUAUUUUUUAUAAUGUUCUUGUCUAUUUUUAUAUUUACAGUCUAUGGUUUUUAGUCCUUGAUACUUGAUAGAUAUUUGAUAUCUAUUAUAUAUUUUAUCUAUUUUUAUGGUUUCUUUGUCGUUUUCUUUAUUCAUUUUUAUUCAUUCUUGUUCUAUUAAUAGGUUACCAAAUUCUUGUUCUAUUUGAAGAAGAGAGUUUCCCAUCUCUUACUCGGGUACCUUCUCCAAGUUAUAAGGAACCAGAUGGAGGCCAUUGAAUUGUUAGUCUACCUUCCUCCAUUGGAGUCUGAGGCAUAGAUGGACCGAAAGGAGAAUCAUCUAGCUUUAGAUGGUGGAGGAGAGCACGACUUGUGCUAGAACUUGUUCAAGAAAUUUGACAAAUUUACGCUUCUCAACCUUACUCAUGGCUCUCGCGUCUUGAUGUUUCAAGAGUUGUUCGUGGAGGGUACGUAAGGCUAUCCCCAAUUGAAUCUUUGACUGGGGGAGAGAUGAUUCCGUCAGGGAAUUUAAUGUAAAAAUUCGAAAAACAAACAGAUAACAUUAUUAUUAGAGGAAAUGUUUCAAAUAAAAUAUUUAAAAUGAUAUAUUUUGUGAAAUAUUAAUUUAGAACGUUCAUUUAUUUUAAAUUAAAUGAAACACAUAUUAAGGUAGAUCAUAUCUCGAGGUUGUAUAUCUCAAUUUACUCCAAAUAAAUAUGUUAGAUUAAUAUCUCAUUUGAAGUUUACCCUAUUAAUAGAUGAGAGAUCGGAGAUCGAACGACAGGAUGGAAUUAGUGGAAUGUUUUAGAGAUUAAUUUUAUACCAUUUAAAUGAAAUAAAAGAGUACUUAUACUAUUACAAUAUUUGUAAUUAAUUAAUUCUAAAGGAUUUUUAAUAUAAAAAUUCUAAUUGAAGCAGCGGUCUUCCGCUUCUCUCUCCGGCUCGGACCCGGUUCAUCACCGUUGGGUGAUUUUUUUUUACCGUGGUCUUCCCCCAAUUAAGUUAGGAUUUAGGUCGUCUUCUUCAACAACAACUCUUCUAAUCGUCAUGCUAUCUUCCUGGAUAGUGGAGCAGUCUAUCAGCAUCAUAUCAUCGUCGGCUUCUUCAGAUUCGGCAUUGUCUUCAAUGUUGAUAGGAGGGAAAAGACGCAACACAUCUUCAUGAAAUUCCCAAGACGAGUCCUCCGGUAUCGCUCCAUUCCAAGCGACCAGCCAUUGAUUUCUCUGUCUCGAUCUCACCCUGAAAAAUGGUACGUUUAUUAGAAUAAAUAACUUCUACUGUUUUGUUAGUUGAGUUUAAUAUUCUCAAAUACAAGUUUAUACAAUGAGUUAGUUGUUAGAGGUUAAUUAGUUUUAGAUACUCUUUCUUAUAAAUACUUUUGUAAGACUGUAUUCUUGGUUAAUGAAUUGAGUUCUUUCUUUUGAGAUUAUUGUUGAAUUGAGCUUGAAACAAGCACCAAAAUCUUGGUACUCAAGACUGAGUGCAUUCCUAAUAUUAAAUGAAUUCUCUAACAGUCUGGCAGAUACAUUAUUGUUUCAAAAAAAAGAUAAUAUUUUAAUUUGAGUAAUUGUGUAUAUAUAUAGAUGACAUUAUAAUUUCAAGAAACAACAACAUUGAAAUUGAAGUUUUUAUUAAAAAUCUUUGUACUGCAUGAAUUUAGAUGUAGAGACCUAGGACUUUUGAAAUAUUUCUUUAGUAUAGAAAUUAGAUACAAUUUUGAUGGGUCACUUAACAUGACUCAAUCUAGAUAUGCAUUGCUUAUUUUAAGUAAAAACAACAUGCUAAAUUGUAAACUCAUAAGAACAUUAAUAUUGCCAAAUUCCAAAUUGUCCAAAGAAAAUGGAGAAUUGUCCAAAGAAAUUAAGAUGACACCAGAAAAUCAACAACAAGCUAUUGUGUAUAUAUCGGAGGAAAUCUAGUGACAUGGUCAUCAAAGAAAUAGACAACUAUUUCAAGAUCCAGUGCUGAGGCUCAAUAUAUAGCCUUAGCAAGUCAUACAACUGAAAUUAGAUGGACUCACUUCAUAUGUAAGGACCUUCUACAUAAUUUACAUCAGAAACCUUUGUUAUAUACAGAUAACAGUUCAGCCAUUUUUAUGGCUAGAAACUGUUAAGUUUUGAUAGGUGUAUGAAAUAUAAUCCAAGUAUGGUUUAAUGAUUAAUCCAGAGUAAAGCAAAAUAGUGUUGAUACAGCGGAUAGUAUUGAUUGUUUAAUUUAUCUAAUGAGUAUGAUCAAGAUGUGUUGCAGGUAGAUAAUGUUUGACAGGGAUGAUAUAUAUAUGAUUUGUCCAAGUAGAUGCGGAGAUAUGUGUAUGCAUGCAAUAGAUAUCAGGUAUGAUAUAUAUAUAUGCAGGUGAUUUAGCAAUACUGAGAUCGUUUGGAGAGCGAGGAGAUGACGAUGUAGGAGAGUCGAUGACUGAGUGUAGAGCAGAUCGGAGUGAAGCUGAUGAUGACUUUGAUCCACAGAUGAUGAUUAAUCCCAAAGGGAGUAUGAUUUUGAAACUUAGUAUCACAAACUGUAAAACAAUGUUAGGUUUGAAUUUGAUAUAUAUAGAUGGUUUAAAUGUUUGAUUCCAGCUUAUAACGGUCAUAAGCUCAAGGUUCAACUGGCGCUUGUUGUCAAUGUUGCUGAAGGCAAAGGUGGCAUCAAGUGAUGGUUGGACCUUCCUAGGAUUUCUAUCAUAUUGAAGGUUUAGGUAUUAAAUUGAUCAUGUAAGGGUUUAGAUUAUAAAUUGGUUAAUGAGGGUUCAUAUUGUAAAUGUUGUAAAUGGAUUUAUGUAAUAAUUUUAUACGCCCCCUCAAAAGCGAGUUGGGCUGAAAAGAAACGAACUUUUGGACUGGUCCAUGUUCCAAUCUUUAAAUAUAAAAAGGGUUUUGUAAAUUUGAUUUUGAUUAUAAACACGAAUCGUCCUGUAGGGUUUCAGCGGGAAAUGAGGGUUUCACUGGAAGCAAGGGUUUGCUGGAGGCAAUCGUUCGGGUAUGUUUCUAGUCUUCUUCUUUUGUGCAUGUCGCUCUAUUCCUCUUGUUUAUGUUGUCUUUGGUUGGGUAUCCUUAUUCAUUUGUAUUCUUAAUGGGUUUUGUAGUGGGUGUUCUGUCUGUUAAUGUGUUUGCAUGUCAGUGUUUUCUUUCUUGGUGUUUGUUUUCCUUCAUCCAUUGUGUUUGUUUUCCUCUAUCAGUCUGUUCUGUGUAAGUUUUCCAUUUUCAGUUUCUUUUUGAGAUGAUUGAAUAGAUAUCCUGUAACAUCUUUUGUGAAGAUGUCUUCCACGUUUUCUUUGGUGUUUACCCUUUCUAUUUCAAUCUCUUUUUGCAAAGCUUUGUCUCUGAUCGUGUGUGUAUCGAUUUCUAUGUGUUUUGUUCUUAAUUUGAUGUAAGACUGGGUUUGUUGCGAUUGCAGUUGCAGAGGAACUAUUAAUUUGUAUAGAGUUUUGGAGUUACUAUAUUUACUUGCAUUUCCUUUAAUAGUUGUUUUAGCCAUGUGAUUUCACAAGUUGUGUGUGCUAAGGGUCGGUACUCUGCCUCUGCUGACGAUCUUGUUACUGUAUGUUGUUUUUUGGUUUGCCAUGAAACUAGGUUAUCAUUCAAGAAGAUGGCAAAUCCUGAUGUGGAUCGUCUGGUUGUGGGGAAAGAGGCCCAGUCAGAGUCUGAAAAUACUUUAAUCCUUGCGGUUCUUGUGCCUGAUGAGAAGAAAAGUCCACUUGCUGGUGAGUUUUUAAUGUAUCUUAAUAUUUUGUUCAACUUAGUAGAGUCUUCAUUUGUUGGUUCUGACAUGUGUUGGCUUAGUUGGUUUACUACAUAUGUUAUAUCGGGUUUGGUUACAGUUAGGUAGACAAGUUUUCCAACUAUGCAUUUGUACUCAGUAGGAUCAUCAAGUAAUUUAAUUUCCUUGUUCUGUUUGUUUGACGAUCUUGAUGGUGUAUAGAGUGGGUAUUCUCCUGGUUUAGCAUGUAGAUAGUUGUUUUGUUCAAGGAUUUCUAAUGCAUAUUUUCUUUGGGUAAUAAAAAUCCCAUGUUGUGUUGUUGUGAAUUCUAAUCCUAAGAAUUUUUUUAAUGUUCCUAGAUCUUUGAUGUUAAAAAAACUGGUUAAAUCUGUCUUAAGUUUGAUUAUUUCUUUUAAGUUAUUUCCUGUGAUUAAUAGAUCAUCUACAUAUGGUAAGAUGAAAAUUUUAUUUUUCCCAUUGAUCUUACUGAAGAGUGCAUAAUCCUCUCUUGUCUGUUUAAAACCUAAUUUGUUUAGUACUUGUUGUAGUUUGUUAAACCACAUUCUAGAUGCCGAUCCAGAGGCUCAAUCGCCGACUCCCCAUGAGCCUAGUGGCAGUCUACCAGAACUGUCCACGAAGCCUAGAGUCAGCGAUUCACCCCUGAAGUCGGCGACUUGGUAGUCCCAGUCGGCGACUCCCAGGUGCUGCCUUGAGUACUUGACGUAGACACUCCUUCCAAAUUCGUGGAACUCUUCGAGGGUCCGGCAUAAGGCGACGGAACCCUAGUCCUUGUCGAAGGGCGUUGCUGGGAGUGGCUGACGUGAUCAGGCAUGUCUCACCAGUACUCCCCCCUGAAGAGAGCAUGGCAAAACACCUGUGUACCGCCAGUAUCCCCCCCAAGCAAGGUGAUCUGCAUCAAGGCGAGUAGCGACAAGAUGGGAUUGAGUCAUUGCGCUCACAGCGACACUAAUGGCUCCGCAUGGUCCAUGCACUAUCAGAUGGACUGAUUCACUAUCAGAAUCUAGUUCCAGGCCAAUGGAACUACAUGUUUAUAGUCCUACUCUGAUCAAGAGCGACUUUUGCUGUGUGGAUUCUGGCCGAAGCGACAAAAUGCAUGGAUUCACUAUUAGAAUCUGAUUCUGGCCGAAGCGACAGAAUGCGUGGAUUCACUAUUAGAAUCUGAUUCUGGCCGAAGCAACAGAAUGCGUGGAUUCGUUAUCCGAAUCGGGUUCUGGCCGAAGCGACAAAUCGCGUGGAUUCAUUAUUAGAAUAUGAUUCUGGCCGAAGCGCGAGAAUGCGUGGAUUCGUUAUCCGAAUCGGGUUCUGGCCGAAGCGACAAAUCGCGUGGAUUCAUUAUUAGAAUCUGAUUCUGGCCGAAGCCCGAGAAUCUAGUUCACUAUCAGAACUGAUGUUUAUAGUCUACCCUGAUCAAGAGCGACUUGGUGUCCGCAACGACGGUUACCCCAUAGGCCGAAGCGCAAGAUGGGUCGAGAUCAUUAAGGUCAAAGCGACAAAAUGAUCUCCAAAUGUUCGAAGGACUAUUGAAGCCAAAGUGACAACAUAAUUCUUGCCGAAGCGACAGAAUCAUGCCUGCAAAACAAAAAACAACCUGCAAAACAACUAUAUCAGUCUAAAGGAUAUAUUUAUUGAUUUACUGACCUUGCCGUGCGGAGCAGCCUCUCAUGCUGCUCCUCCUUAUGCUCAAUAAAUCCUUGAUUGAUCUGUCCGAAGCGACAGAUCUUUCAUGCUAAAAAAUGUGACAGCUUCUGGCCGAAGCGACAGAAGUGCCGACUCACUAUUAGAGUCUGAUUCUGACCAAGGCUACAGAUCCACNNNNNNNNNNNNNNNNNNNNNNNNNNNNNNNNNNNNNNNNNNNNNNNNNNNNNNNNNNNNNNNNNNNNNNNNNNNNNNNNNNNNNNNNNNNNNNNNNNNNNNNNNNNNNNNNNNNNNNNNNNNNNNNNNNNNNNNNNNNNNNNNNNNNNNNNNNNNNNNNNNNNNNNNNNNNNNNNNNNNNNNNNNNNNNNNNNNNNNNNNNNNNNNNNNNNNNNNNNNNNNNNNNNNNNNNNNNNNNNNNNNNNNNNNNNNNNNNNNNNNNNNNNNNNNNNNNNNNNNNNNNNNNNNNNNNNNNNNNNNNNNNNNNNNNNNNNNNNNNNNNNNNNNNNNNNNNNNNNNNNNNNNNNNNUAUUAGAACCUUUCCUGCAAAAAAGAAAACAUCCUGCAAAAUAACUAGAUCAGUUCGAAAACGCAUAUAUUUAUUAUUGAACUUACCGUGUGAUCUACCUUUCGUGAUGUCCCUCCUUUGCUCAAAUUUGUCCUCGGUAAAUCUGGCCGAAGCGACAGAUUUUACCGUGCUCAAUUUCUUUGACGACUUCUGGCCGGAGCGACAGAAGUGUCGGGAGAGCUUGUGAUACUCCCCCCUGAAAUGUGACGACUUCCAUCCUAUAGACAGAAGUGCCGGGAGAGCUUGUGAUACUCCCCCUCGAAAUGUGACGACUUCUAUCUAAAUAGACAGAAGUGCCGGGAGAGCUUGUGAUACUCCCCCUCGAAAUGUGACGACUUCCAUCCUAUAGACAGAAGUGUCGGGAGAGCUUGUGAUACUCCCCCCUGAAAUGUGACGACUUCCAUCCUAUAGACAGAAGUAUCGGGAGAGCUUGUGAUACUCCCCCUCGAAAUGUGACGACUUCCAUCCUAUAGACAGAAGUGUCGGGAGAGUUUGUGACACUCCCCCUCGCGAAUUGUGCCCUUGUGACACAAAAACAUUUGCGACGAGUGUUUUUCGAAGUAUGUGACUGUCGGUGAACUAUCUAUUGUUUUUCCUUUGCUAAUCUUUCAUAUAAAUUACCCUUCAAAUUGUAACUAAGGCCCGAAACUAGAUUCACAAGUCGUAAUUUAGCCACUCUGGACGUAAAUUAGACUCUGCUAACCCUAUUGCUAGCCACUCUGGGCAUAGACUUGGUCGUACGAAUCGUAGCUCAGUCUACGGUUAAAUUUAUGGACAAUUUAUACCUCUAGACUAGCGUCGGAUUACUAGAGAUAGAGUAAACGACGAAUCAGAGAUAUUCGACACUCAAAGGUUGCCUUAAAAUUCGGAACCUUAACGAUGGAGAGAGCUUGUGAUACUCCCUCCUGAAAUAUGAUGACUUCUGGCCGAAGCGACAGAAGUGUCGGGAGAGUUUGUGAUACUCCCCCCUUGAAAUUUGACAACUUCUGGUCGAAGUGACAGAAGUGUCGGGAGAGUUUGUGAUACUCCCCCCUGAAGACUUGCACUUGGGGCAGUUUUAGUGUUAUUUUACCCGGAAUCGGCAACAAGAGUUUGUGAUACUCCUACAGUCGGCGAUACCUAUGGUUUGGGUAACUGUAGAGGGUAUUUUUGUUUUUUACCCCUGCGAGUCGGCGACUCCCUCUGUGAGUCGGCGACUCCUAGUGUAACCGCCGGAUCUUUUUGGGAGAUCCUUGGGAUAUUGGGAAGAUAUACGGGGAUUAUUUGUAAAAUCUCCAAAUAAGGAAAUUUUUCUCACAGUGCUGUGAGUUUUUGCCCGGAGUCGACGACUGCCCUGUGGAGUCGGCGACUUGGCGUGAUUCGGGGGAUUUGGAGAUCGAUUCUUGAUCUCAAAUUUUGUAAAUUUUGGGUUUUCUAGGGGGUUUUUGCAAUUUUCCCAAGGGCUAUAAAUAGUGGAGAGGUUUUCCCCAAACCCUCACAACACUUUUGCCACUCUUAAAUCGCCCACACCUCCAGAUUUUUGAAUCGUCGAUUCUUCAGUUUUAAAACUUCGAAUCGCAGAUUCCCCCAAUGUCUACCCCCGAUUCCCCUUUGUCUCCAUUGAAGGAAAACGAAACGUCAGCUUUCAUAGCUGAGAUGAUUGUGGACAACCUUGAUGAGGUGUUGAACACCGUUGAAUCGCCGAUUCCCUCUCCUGACAGAGAGGUUGAGCCGGCGAUUCCGGUCGUGCCACCUCAUGGAAUGGAGUUGAGUGCCACCGUGCACGAACUACUUGGCGCCUCGCCAGUGUCGGCGACUCCCCUUGUGGAGUCGGCGACUCAGUGCAGGGCCCUUGUAGUCGUACGGGAGCCUCUUGAGCUGGGGGAAAUUCCCGUGGCCUCUGUGUCGGCGACUCCCAUUGUGGAGUUGGCGACUCACGCAGGUCCUGUUAAAGGGAAAUCCUUCAAGCGAAGGGGGCAGGGCUCAGCUGCCAUUGGGUCGGCGACUGCUGGCCAUGCCUCGCCGAUUCCUAUCAUUGAAUCGGCGACUCGUGUGCUGGAGUCGGCGACUCCUAUGCUUAUUGAUGAUUCUUCCGCGCGUCGCACCGUACCAUUGGUCAUGAGCGCGGAAGGCCGAAUCGUGUCGGGACUGAACCCGAACCAAGGUCCUUCUCUGAAGAGAAAGAGAAGGCGCACCACUGGGAAGGGCAAAGUACGCGUGCCCGAAGAGAACGAAGGGGUCCCUCCUCCAUUGAAUAUAAACUUCGAGGAGACCUUGACUGUGGACCGUGGUGCUCAAAAUCCAUGACGUAGAGCGGGCCGGCGCUCUGAGAGAACUCCGCCACCUCCCGUGGAUCUGAACGCUAGUCGAGACCCGGACCUCGACUUGAACACGUACGUUGGAGCUUUGAACCCCUCUGGGUUCGCUCACUGUGAAAUCGCCGCGAAUGGCAUACCAAGGUUGCUUCCUAUCGACCGUUUUGGGGACGGCGAUUAUGAACAAGUGAUGACUCAUGCAACCUUGGAUGGGUCCGAUGGAGUGAAUCCCCCCUCCAAUUUGAAUGCGAGCGACGCUCGAUCACUGCUGUCGGGGAUUCAGAUAUCUGGUCAUCUGCGAUUCUGGAUGUCGCGAUACCAGCCGAUUAAUCUGCCAUCCCCGGGAUUCUAGGCUAUCCCGAGGAUCUACUUCAAGCACUUCUCCGAGCUGCCAAUUCCGGAGAUCAUCAGUGAAGUGCUCUUGAGAUUUGAAGUGUCCCUGUCGCAGCUCCCUGCGGGAUUCUUUGUGAUCCUGCGUGGUUUCAUGAACAUCUGCUGGGGGCUCAAUGUUGCUGCGACGGCGAGCUUGUUUCUGUACUUCUACAAGCUCACCAGAGAGAAGUCUGCAUCCGGUCGCUUUGGAUUCACGCGGCGACACUUUGACAAAAAUAUCGUCGACGAGCUCCCGACGAACUUCGGAUGCAACUGGAGAAAAGAGUUUAUCUUCAUAACUUCUGAAUUUCUUCCCGGGAGUCGGGAAAUGUGGAAUGACCCUAAUCGAGUGCAUAUGAACGCCUCGAUCGAGCUGAGUACGAGGGAUAUUGAGGUCUCGGAUCGGAUAGCGCGUACGCUUACUGCAUACUCUGUGCCGCGCGGUGUUCCCUUUGUCCUUUGCCAAAGGGAAGACUUUACAUUUGAUGAUAUUGAGGAAGCUCGUGAGCCACCCACUGAGAAAGAGCUGGAAGGUGGACAAAAACGAUCGAUCCUAUACCACGACGCUGCACCUCUUUAUAUGCGCAAGAGGUUCCGAGAGGGCAAGCUGAUCAGAUUGCGAAAGAAGAAGACCUCUCGCAGCGAGCCUCGCCGGACCUUUGAGCAUGGGUCGAGCUCUCGCUCUGCACCACCACCUCCCAGGGGCUAUGUGCCUUACACUUCUGCUGGAGUGACACUUCCCGACUUCAUGGCUGAUGCUGAAACUCGAAGGGAAGCGAUGUCACUCCUUUUGGGUCAUCCUGGGACCUGGUGCCGGAGCGAGCUCUUAAAGCAUUUGAAUGCCGCAUGCUAUAUGGCACAUGCUUGUUAUCAUGGAGACUCUAUCCAUGACGUCGAGAAGAUACAAGAAAAAUACAACCAACUCGACGCGAAGUUCAAAGAGAGCGAGAAGGCUCUCGAUAAGCUGAAGAAUAUGAGGUCCAGGAUGGAGAACCUCCGUGACAAUAUUCUGCCGAAGAAGGACAAGACCAUUGAGUCCAAGCAGAAAGAAAUAGAUGAGUAUGUCACGAAGAUCUUGGCGCUUCGCAAAGAUCUGAAAGUUGCUAGUUCUGGCAGCACUAAAGACAUUGAAGAUCUAAAGAGCCAACUAGCUAAUGAGAAAGGGUACGUGGCCUCGCUUGAGGCUACGGUAGCGGAGUUGAAGAAGCAAGCUGCUCAGAGCCAACGAGAAACCACUGAGCUGAAAAGCGAGCUUGCAAGUGCGGAAGAAGAGGUUCUGACUCUGAAAGAUGACAAUGCCGCACUUGCUGGGAGAGCUGCUGGGUUGGAUUUGGAUGUACGUUACCAAUCCGACCAGCUUCAAGAGCUCAUAUUCUUUGGUCCUUCCGUGUAUCCUGCUCUACCCCCCGACUACAUCACGGACAUAAUGGCGUGGGUAGAGCAACAUCCUGAAGAGCUCGAGAAAAAUAAAGAAGCUCUCGACAAGAUGAAGGACGAAGCCGCGCGAGAAUAGAUUUUCUAAGUCCUUUUAUUUUGUAACCUUUUUGUACUCGUUAUCUUUUUGUAAAUCUGAAAAUUUUUAAUGAAAUUAAUCGCUUUUGCUUUUCUAUUCAAUUGUUCAUUUACUUUAUUCUUUUGAAUUGUAACUAAGACCCGAAACUAGAUUCGCGAGUCGUAAUUUAGCCGCUCUGGACGUAAAUUAGACUAACCCUAUCGCUAGCCACUCUAGGCGUAGACUUGGUCGUACGAAUCGUAGCUCAGUCUACGGUUAAAUUCGCGAAAAUAAACUAAACUUUACAACUAAUAGUAAGUCGCAAUAUCGAUUAACAAAUUCGAAAGAUAACAAAUAUGUCGAAAGAUAACUAUCAAUCCUAAGACUCUAGAGUUGUAGUUUUGCUCCAGCCAAGGUGACGGAGCAACUUUUUGUCCCAUACCAAAGAUGUAACAAUGAGAUGGGGUGAAAAUUUAAAAACGUUUACUAAUCUAUUAAGGCCGUAGCGACAUGAUAGAUUUUGAUUUGUGGUGGGUACUUAGAACCUCUUGUGGUUGGGUUCACUUGUCCCUAUCAACUACCUAGGACUCUGCUUUUAGACCCUAAUGCGUGGUUGAACUCUGGCCAUGAUGACAGAGCAACUUUUUGGACCCAUAUCUGGGCUGAAGUGAUCAUAAUGUGUUUAAAGAUAAUUUUGAUCUAUUAAGGCAAUAGCGACAAAAUAGAUUCAUAAAGUGGGGUGCUAGCUAGAGUCGUAGGUAGAUGAUAAAUCUAAAUUUUAUUAAAAGAUGUAAAUUACAACAGUAAGAUUUGUAAUUUUUAAACUAACACAUAGACUAAGAGGCUCUAACGUGCUUAAUACUAAGUGCGAUGUUGCUGUACGUUGUCCGUGUGCCAGAUGCAAGGACUUUUGGGUGACAGCUUAUUCCUAUUCCUCUUAGUUAUGCUAGCCUUUCUGUUGGUCUACCACCAGAUAGCAUAUGGAUGGUUUUCCGUGGGUGAUCUUCCCUAUUGUCACUGUCUGGUGAAGGAGAGCGUGGGCGCUUCCCAUUCACGUCAGACUUGCAAUUGUUUCGAUCCCGGGAUCCUUUGACCAGGCUGUCAAGUUCGCCGUUCGAAAUUAAUUGCUCGACAUAAAGCGAGAAUUCCCUGCAAUAGUCUGUCAGAUGGUCGUGGUCCUUGUGGAAUUCACAGAAUUUUCCACUUUUCUGGCGGCGAUCCUUGGUUGCAGGGUUCAUAGAGCGAGGAGCGGGCAGAUCCGCUCUGUUCUUCAGUUUUUCAAACAGCUCGCCUUUGCUGAUUGUUAGUGGGGUCCGGUUCCUCCAAGGUUGAGGUGGACCCCUUGGCGAUCGUUUGACGGAUAUUUGAUACACUUUGUUAUCAUGUUUAGGCUUCCAAUCCUUUCUGAAGGAAUCAGCCGCAUUGCUAGUGUAUCUGUUCGAGGAGUCAUUGUAGCUCUUUCUCUCGAACUUUUGUUUUUUGAAGCUAGUGUUCUCGAGUUCCACUAGCUUGUUUUCAUUCUGCUCUUCCACCUCAAUGAAUGACUGAGCUCGUUGGAAGAGGUCGGGUAAGGUCUCCACUUUGUGGAGUGUGAGAUUCAGGGCCAGAGGGGAGUAGGGUACCAGCACGUUUGUAUACCCCGCAAUGGCCAAACUUGGGAUUAAGUCGCUCACUUCUGUCAUCAUUGAAGUGAACUUAAACGUGUAAUCCCUUAGAGACAGUUUGUCCUGUCGUAGCGCCAAUAGUGCAUUGACGCUGUGUUUGAUCCUGAUCAUCCCCACAUGCUGGGCGAUGAAUUUGGAUGCGAGGUCUGCAAAGCAGGAAAUUGAUCCGGCUGGCAGACCAGAAAACCAUCGAUAGGCAUUGCCCUUAAGAGUGCCGGGGAAUGCUCGACACAGCAGUGCGUUAUCAGUGGUUUGCGGUUCCAGAACGCUGAGGUAGAGGUUGACGUGAUCUUGUGGAUCACUCGAACCAUCGUACGAUUCUAUUCUGGGUACCCGCCAGGUUGGUGGAAAGGCCACCUUCAAAAGGUCCUCUUGGAAAGGAGCGCUUUUGACUCUUAAGAACUCGAUCGGAUUGCUGAUGACUAGAGUGUCAGCCAGCUUCCGACGGAGGUCCUCUACGAAUCGUGUUGUAAGAGUCCUAUCAGUGCGACUCUUACUGGGUCCAGCUCUUAAUUUUUCUGGCUCUGGACCUUUCUUUUUCUCCGUAGUUGGAGAAUUGUGAGAAGCCGAUUUGGUAAGACAUGCCUUAUUACACCAGUCACUACCCAUCAACGCCUCUCAACAAGGACUAGGGCUCCGUCGCUAUGGCAGGACCCCCGGAGAGCUCCCACGGUGCGGAACACGUUCAUCGUCCAGAUCGCCGAGUUAGCCCGUAAAGUCGCCCGAUUGGACUACCAAGUCGCCGAGUUAAGGCAAGAUCGGCAGUAUGGUAGACUGUACGUCUUGGCCCUAGAAACUCGCCGAGUUAGCCCUUAACUAGGUGACUUCCAUACCUGAAUCGGCGACUUACGACCGUUACUCGGCGACAGCCAACGUCAUAAAUGUUACCAUAUAUGACCAUAGGCGCGAUCUCCGCCGAUGAGUGCGCCCUCCGAGACCCUAUAAAAGGGGUCCCAAGGGGACACUCAAAGGCACGAUUCAAGUUCCACUCUCACACCAGAGCACUACACUACGAAACUCGGCGAGUCUCAUUAGAAUCGCCUAGUUUCCACUUGCAGGUAUUUGACGUAGAGCGUGCGUCGUGGACUCCAAAGCCUCCGGCAUCAACCUCGCACCACUGCGAGCCCUGGUAGCAGAUUCAGUGCUUCAUCAGCUGACGCCGUCUGUGGGACUACCGAACCACCGGUAUCCCGUCGUAAUCGCGAUUUUUUAAAAAUCCGGCUCGAGCUCUCCCAAGAGUUCGCCGAGUUUGUCAAAAAAUCGCCUACUUAGAUCGUCCGAUUCUCGGUUAACGUCCGAUUUAGCCUUAAAUCGCCGACUUAUCCUUGAGAAUCGCCCGAUCCGGAAUAUCGUCUGCUAGCUAAGAGUGUUGUCCACGACCUUGUUCGGAAAAACCCCUAACUCGCCGAGUUAACACUUAACUCGCCGACUUAGCUCUUGUUUUCCCAACAGGCUCAGUCAGGUACCUCUCUGCUUUGGUACUUCCUCGCUUUCGCUUUCAUGGCAAUCAUCGAAAAGCAGAAGCACCCUUACGCCACAAGAAGUAAGGGGAAAAUGCCAGCAACUGAGCUGGAACAGGGUGAGCAAUCCCGACCUAAGGGACCCAUCAAUGCUCAACCUGUGGAAACAAACUCGGUUCCUCCUCCUGUCGAGGAACACAUUAUGCCCAAGGCUCCACCCACCUUGGAAGAAAGGUUGUUCAGUUUCAUGGACAACAUUGAAAGAAGGAUGACUAACCUCGAGCAAGCGAGGAGUCAUAGGACCACCACCAUCCGUGAAAGAACGGACGAAUCUGGGUCCAUCUAUUCUCCAUCUGCGGAGAAAAAACAGAGUUCCCGUCCCAAGACGGGACCCAGUAAGAGUCGCUCCGAGAGGACUCUUACUACUCGGUUCGUAGAGGAUCUUCGGCGGAAGUUGGCCACCGACCCAGCCGUCGGCAACACGCACGAAAUCCUGAGGGUUAAAAGUCCUCCUCUUAGCGAGGACCUUUUAAAGGGAGUUUUCCCACCCAACUGGCGGGUACCAAGAAUCGAGGCAUACGACGGUUCAAGUGAUCCAGAAGAUCACGUGAACCUCUACCUCAACGUCUUGGAACCGUAAACCAUCGAUGAUGGGCUGCUGUGUCGGGCAUUCCCCGGCACUCUCAAAGGCAGCGCUUAUCGAUGGUUCUCUGGUCUGCCAGCUGGCUCAGUCACCAGCUUUGCAGACCUCUCAUCCAAGUUCAUCGCCCAACACGUGGGGAUGAUAAGGAUUAAACAUAGUGCCAACGCACUCCUGGCACUGAGACAGGACAAACUGUCUCUGAGGGACUAUACGGUCAAGUUCACCACAAUGAUGACAGAGGUGAACGACCUAAUCCCGAGUGUGGCCAUAGCGGGAUACAUUAGAGGAUUAGUCCCCUACUCCCCUCUGGCCCAAAAUCUGACUCUCUACAAGGUGAGUUCUCUGCCCGAACUCUUCCAACGCACUCAAUUGUACAUUGAGGUGGAAGAGGAGGACGAGAACAAGCUAGCUGAACUUGGGACUCCUAACUUCCAAAAGCCUAAGUUUGAGAGGAAGGGGUACAGUGGAAACAACAAUUUCCACGACACCUCCAACAAGUAUACCAGUAACAAGGCCGAGACUUCCAAAAAAGAAUGGAAGCCUAGGCAUGAUAACAAGAUAUACCAAGCCUCAACCAGCAAGCCAAAGGGUGUAAUUCCACUAUGGAAAAGAAACACCCCGCUUACUAUCAGAAAAGGCGAGCUGUUUGAGAAGCUAAAGAACCGAGCGGACCUACCUGUCCCUCGUUCUUUAGACCCUGCAGGCAAAGAGGGUUGCAUGCAAUCUGGGAAAUACUGUGAAUUUCAUAAAGACAGCGGCCACCUAACAGAUAACUGCAGGGAGUUCUCGUCUUUCGUCGAACAGUUGAUCUCAAAGGGAGAACUUGGCAACUUCGUCAAGAACUCCCGAGGACGGGACAACUGCAAAUCUGACACAAAGGGGAAGCGUCCGCGCUCUCCUUCGCCAGACACUGACAACAGCGAGAACCGCCAGCGGAAGACCAUCAAUAUGAUAUUUGGUGGUGGAUCCGUUGGCCAGAACAGGGGAUAUUCCCGAAAGGUGUUGAUGUCACAGUCAACACCUCGAGACAACGGAAAGCGGUAACAACUUGGAGCUAUCUUAAAAAGGAUACAUUAAAGAGUAACAAAAAUGAUAUUGGAUGGUUCUAUUCCAUUUCCAUCUUGAGAAAAGACAUAAUUGUGAUACAAUGUUCUUCAGAAGAUCGAGAAUACAACUUGUACGUCCCUGUUCUUUUAUUAUUUGGUUAUUUACAGUCUAUGGUUUCUAGUCCUUGAUAGAUGUUAGAUAUUUAAUAUUAUUUAUCUAAUAUAGGUUUUAUCUAUUUUUGUGGAUUUCUUUGUCGUUUUCUUUACAUGUCGAUUUUUAUUUAUUCUUAUUCUAUUAAUAGGUUAAUAAAUUCUUGUUCUAUUUGAAGAAGAGAGUUUCCCACCUCUUCCUCAGGUACGUACCUUCUCCAAGUUAUAAGGGACCUGAUGGAGGUCAUUGAAUUCUUAGUCUACCCUCCUCCAUUAUAGUCUGGGGCAUAGAUGGGCAGGAAGGGGAAUCAUCUUUAAAUGGAGGUGAUUGCCACCACUAAGUCAGACUUUAUCACAUUCCGGUGAUGGAUAUACACUUCCGAUGUUAUAAAAUCAUAUAUAAAAACCAACAUUGUCUCUGAUACCAAAUGAUAGAAAUUAUCAUACUUUAUUAUCUAUGAUUUUUAUAUCAAGAAUGUAAUGUACUUACAGAUUCAAACGCAACUUGUGUUGAAUCCAUUACAACGGAAGUACAUACUUGAUCUCUGUAUGUUUCUUUUGCCUUUCUUCUGAGAUUUUCUCUUUUUUGGGAUUCCUGAGACUUGUCUCUAUUGGAUGUCUUCUUUUGGACUAGUAGAAUAGACGAUGUUUCUUUAACCCUCAUAUCUUAUUUAUAUAAAAGCAAUGGGUUAUUUACACAUUGAUCCAUAUAUUGAUACUCCCACUUGAUCUACUACACAUAUAUUAACCUUUACUCAACCAUAUAAACAAUCUUUAAUGCAUGCUUUGUUUAUUUUUCUUUUUAAGUCUACACUCGGUCUCAUAAAGACAACAAUAAUAAAUCACAGCGUCACUAUGUCUAAAUGUGCAACAUAGAAACUUCUGUGUAUCACAUUACGUUCGUCUUUAUUAACAUUAGCUUCAUGUGGUAGUGCAGCAAACUGAAUGAUACUUUAUAUAUGUAUCAUUUUAUUGUCAGUCCUCUGUAAUCUAAUCCUUAUGGUGAGCCCAUACUCACACUAGACAUUAUUUAUGAUUCUCAUGAACCUUAAUCAAUUUAUGUAUCAUUUUUCUUCUUUAUUGUGAAAUACAUCACACAAAAAAAAAAUGUAUACCUACUAUAUUAUUUUCUCAUCUUUAUUGUAAAAACCAUCACAAAAGAAAAUUUUAACUUUAUAAUUUCAUUUUUAUUGUGAAAAUCAUCACAAGAGUAAAAUUUAACUUUAUAAUCUCAUCCUUAUUAUGAAAUUCAUCACCGGAGACCUUGUUUAAUUUCUUAAUUCAUUCUCACAAAUUAAUCAGAGUUAAAUAAGAAAUUGACAAAUCAUUUAUUAAAAUACAAUUAUUGAAGUUUUGAUAAUCUAAUAAAUAAAUUAAAUCUGAGUAUAAAUAAUAAUAAUAAAUUAUUACAAGAUUGAAAAUAUAAAAUAUUACAUAUGGAAAUAAAAUUACUUUCACUUAAACGAUGACAUCCCAAGAACCCAACAAACUCAUUGCUAAAAUAUGUGAAUUUAGUAUGUUAGGUUGUCCUUUAGUGAGUGGAUCAGCUAGCAUAUCAUUAGUACUAAUAUGACCGACUAUGAUAUCAUUUUCUCUACCUUUUUCUUUGAUUUUUAGAUACUUCAAUUUUAUAAACUUUGUAGACGUGACACUUUUGUUGUUGUUAAUACUCAACACUGUCGAAAGGUUAUCACAGUAUAUUUGAAUUGGUCUUUCAACAAAAUUGAAAACUUUCAAUUGUUGAAUGAAACUUUUUAACCAACUUGAUUGAAUUGAAACUCCAAAGCAUGAAAUAAAUUCAGCUUCCAUGGUUGAUGUGGCUAUUAACUUUUGUUUUUCACUUCUCCAAGAUACAGCACCACCUGCCAUUUUGAAGAUAUAACCAGAGGUUGACUUCUUUUCAUCUUUACAUCCAGCAAAAUCUGAGUCUAAAUAUCCAACUAGAUUCAAGUUUUCAACUCGAGUAUAUGUUAAUCUAUAAUUUCGAGUACCUUUUAAAUAUCUCAAAACUUUCAUCGCAACAACCCAAUGAUCCAAGCCUGGAUUAACUUGAUAUCUUCCUAAGAGUCCAACCAUAAAUACAAUAUCUGGUCUAGUGCAUACCUGAGCAUACAUUAGACUUCCAUAAAGAAAUGCUUUCAUUUCAUUCUUCUGCAAGUUUGUUAGAGGACAUUGAGCUAAAUUCAAUUUAUCACCUUUUACAAUUGAAGCAACACUUGACUUACAUUCUGAGAGAUUAAACCUUUGUAAUAUACGAUCGAUGUAAGCUGAUUGAACAAGACCUAACAAAUGUCUAGAUCGAUUUCUGUUGAUCUCAAUACCAAGAACAAAAGAUGCUUCACCCAAAUCUUUCAUAUCAAAUUCACUUGAUAAGAAUUUCUUUGUUUCAAAUAAUAUACUUAAAUCGUUGCAAGCAAGUAAUAUAUCAUCAACGUAUAGAACAAGCAAAACAUAUUUGCUCCCUCUGACCUUGUGAUAUAUACAUGGAUCCAUGAGAUUUUCCGAAAAACCAUAUGAAGAAAUGAUUUCAUGGAAUUUAAUAUGUCAUUGUCUUGAUGCUUGUUUAAGUCCAUAUAUAGACUUUUUAAGUCUAUAAACAAGCUUGUCAUUUUCUUCAAAACCUUGUGGUUGCGUCAUAUAUAUUUCUUCAUUGAGAUUCCCAUUAAGAAAAGCGGUUUUAACAUCCAUUUGAUGUAGUUCUAGAUUGUAGUGAGCCACUAAAGCCAUAAUGAUUCUAAAAGAAUUCUUCGAGGAAACUGGUGAAAAUGUUUCAUGAUAUUCAAUUCUCUCUCUUUGAGUGAAUCCUUUGGCAACCAAUCUAGCCUUAAACCGCUAAAUCUUUCCUCUGGAAUCUCAUUUGGUUUUAAAAGCCCAUUUGCAACUCACAACUUUAACACCCUCAGGUAACUGAAUAAGUUCUCAUUCUUUAUUAUGGUACAUAGACUGCAUCUCAUCUUUCAUUUCAUCUUGCCACAAAUCACAUUGUGCACUUGCAACCGCUUGAUCAUAUGAGAUAGGGUCAACUGUACUACUACAACCAAUGUCAUAGUCGUAUUCUCCUAAAUAAACUUCAUAAUCAUUAGGGAUAGCUGAUCUUCUUUCUCGUGUAGACCUCCUUGGUUCAAUAACUAGUGGAUCUGCCGGUGUAAUAAUUGGUUCAUCAACUUGAGCAAUAACUAGUGUGUCAACGGAUGUCACUGAAGAUGUGGUUGGUGUAAUCGAAAAUAAGGGUAUAACUACUGUUGAUGGUUGAUGGUCCAAUGAAUUAGAAACCUCUGAAGUAUUAACAUCUGCUACAUCAUUUUUUAAGAAUUUUGCUGUUCGAGAAUCUACAAUUAUUGUUCCACCAUGAGGUCUAUAAAAACGAUAUCCCUUAGAAUGAUUCGGAUAUCCCACAAAAUAGCAUGUCACUGUUCUUGAAUAUAACUUGUUUUAUGUUGGAUUGUAUAAUUUCACCCCUACAGGAUAACCCCAAAUCUUCAAAUGAUUUAAACUAGGUUUUCUACCUGUCCAAAGUUCAAAAGGUGUAACUAGUACUGACUUACUUGGGACUCGAUUCAAAAUAUACAAUGCUGCUUGUAUUGCUUCACCCCACAAGAAUGUUGGUAAAUUUGCUCUACUAGUCAUGUUUCUCACCAUAUCCAUUAGGGUACGAUUUCUUCUUUCUGCCGCUCCAUUCUGCUCAGGAGUUCCUGACAUAGUGUAUUGCCCAAUUAUUCCAUAUUCUUCCAAAUAUUGUGCAAAAGGACCUUUAAGUUGUCCAACAUCUCCAUGUUUACCGUAAUAUUCUCCACCUCUAUCUAUCUGAUCUAACAAUCUUUAUAGAUUUUUCCAAUUGUUUCUCAACUUCUGUUUUGAAUACUUUAAAUUUCUCUAAAGAUUCAUAUUUUUCUUUGAUAAGAAACAAAUGGCCAUAUUUAGAAAAAUCAUCUAUAAAUGUUAUAAAAUAUAAGCAUCCACACAAAGUUUUAUGAUAUGGUCCACUAAUAUCCGUAUAAAUAAUCUCCAAAAGACUAGUGUUACGAGUAGCAGUCUUUUUCCCUUUCUUGGUCAUUUUCCUCUUAAGACAAUCAAUACAUUCUGCAUGGUCAUUAUCUAAAGAAGGAAGAAUGGUCGAUUUAACCAAUCUUUUAAUUCUAUCUUGUGAAAUAUGAUCUAACCUUUUAUGCCAUAAUAUAUAUGAUUUUUCUUUAUUUAAGGGUCUUUUGGAAACUGUAUUUUCCACAUUAUAAGCUAUAUAGAUCUUCAUAGAAUCAAGACAUAAUCUGUAUAGGUCAUAAGACAAAACACAAUUACCCAUAAUCUUUGAGUUAAGAAACAUUGAAACUGUAUUGUUCUUAAAUUCAAAAGAAAAACCAUGUUUGCUUAAUUUACUAACAGAAAUUAGAUUCCGUCUAAACGACGGAACAUACAAAGUGUCUUUCAAUGUUAAACCAAAUCCUAAAUCUAGAUUUAAAAUAACAUCGCCCACAAAUUCUACAUCAGUUUGUCCAUCAUUUCCUACGAACAAUCUUGAUUCAUCCUGAUUUGGCUUCCUUCUAUUUGUGAAUCCCUGUAUGGUGAAUGCAACAUGAUUAGUUGCUCCACUAUCCAACCACCAAGAACUAGAUGAAGAUUCUAUUAAAUUAGAUUCAUAAACUAAUGUCAAAGAAUCAAUACCUUUUUGUUCCUGUUUUAUGAGCCAAGAUUUAUACUUUAAGCAAUUCUUCUUUAUGUGUCCCGGUUUCUUACAGAAGAAACAUCCAUUAAUUGCUUUCUUGAGGGAGUUCUUGUUAGGACCAAAUUUGUCAGAUAAGUUGGUAUCCUUAGAAUCUUUAUUUUUCACAAACUUUUUGAACUUAAAUCCUUUCUUAUUUGAACUAUACAUUGUUAUCGAAAAUUUUUCGCCUUUUAUUUUAUCCCCCAUUUCUCCAAAUAAUUAUUUCUUUUAAUUCGAGCCCAGGCUCGCCGGUUCGAGCCCGGGCCCGAGCCUGACAAUUCUUAAAAUGAGCCGAGCCUGAGCCUGGCUCUAUAAGCAAAAGCUCGACUUGUUUGACACCUUAAUCUCAGAUAAAUAUUCCGAGAAUAUUUUGCCACUUAUCUUCAAAUUCUGAAGUUUUUUGGCGUAGACUCAUCACAUGCGAUCGAGAAUUAGAUGCAAAUUGCAUUUGAAAUGUUUCUCAUACCUCAUGUGUCGUAGCACAAUCAGAGACUUCCGACAGUACCGAGAGUGAAAUUGAUGAAAAUAGCCAUCCUAAAAUCAAUUGAUCUUGCUUGAUGGCAAGAGAGUUGUCCAAUUUUUCCCUACCGGCCAGAUAGUCCAUCAGCUCAUGACCUCGGAUAUUAGCCCCAAAUUGGGCUCUCCACGCGAAGUAGUUGCUGCGGUCUAGGGCUACAGUCUUGAAGUUCUUGGCGGUCACCUUUCCUGGUGCAUCGUUGCCAUAGAGCUUCUUUGCAGCCAGCGAAAUCCCUUUGUCAGCUUCGUCAAUCGACAUUGCGUAUCGGAAAAAAAUUGUGAUCGUCAACGAUUUUGGAGCGAUUCCGAUGAUCAGAGAUGUGCGGCUUCCCAAGAUCAGCUAAGCGAAAGAUACCAUAACAGUGAAUUGAAAUAUAUGAAUGGGGAAAGCCAAACUCGAUCCUUUUCAUAUUCAAUAGUAAGAUCUAUUUAUACAAUUUGUUACUCUAAUAUCCUAUUUGUUUGUUCUUUUGUAUUAUCGAUAUUUAUUGUCUAUUUUUUAUAAUGUUCUUGUCUAUUUUUAUAUUUACAGUCUAUGGUUUUUAGUCCUUGAUACUUGAUAGAUAUUUGAUAUCUAUUAUAUAUUUUAUCUAUUUUUGUGGUUUCUUUGUCGUUUUCUUUAUUGAUUUUUAUUCAUUCUUGUUCUAUUAAUAGGUUACCAAAUUCUUGUUCUAUUUGAAGAAGAGAGUUUCCCAUCUCUUGCUCGGGUACCUUCUCCAAGUUAUAAGGAACCAGAUGGAGGCCAUUGAAUUGUUAGUCUACCUUCCUCCAUUGGAGUCUGAGGCAUAGAUGGACCGAAAGUGGAAUCAUCUAGCUUUAGAUGGGGGAGGAGAGCACGACUUGUGCUAGAACUUCUUCAAGAAAUUUGACAAAUUUACGCUUCUCAACCUUACUCAUGGCUCUCGCGUCUUGAUGUUACAAGAGUUGCUCGUGGAGGGUACGUAAGGCUAUCCCCAACUGAAUCUUUGACUGGGGGAAAGAUGAUUCCGUCAGGGAAUUUGAUGUAAAAAUUCGAAAAACAAACAUAUAACAUUAUUAUUAGAGGAAACGUUUCAAAUAAAAUAUUUAAAAUAAUAUAUAUUUUGUGAAAUAUUAAUUUAGAACGUUCAUUUAUUUUAAAUUAAAUUAAACACAUCUUAAGGUAGAUCAUAUCAUUUAAUUAGUGGAAUGUUUUAGAGAUUAAUUUUAUACCAUUUAAAUGAAAUAAAAGAGUACUUAUACUAUUACAACAUUUGUAAUUAAUUAAUUAAUUAAUUCUAAAGGAUUUUUAAUAUAAAAAUUCUAAUUGGAGCAGCGGUCUUCCGCUUCUCUCUCCGGCUCGGACCCGGUUCAUCACCGUUGGGUGAUUUUUGUUUACCGUGGUCUUCCCCCAAUUAAGUUAGGAUUUAGGUCGUCUUCUUCAACAACAACUCUUCUAAUCGUCGUGCUAUCUUCCUGGAUAGUGGAGCAGUCUAUCAGCAUCAUAUCAUCGUCGGCUUCUUCAGAUUCGGCAUUGUCUUCAAUGUUGAUAGGAGGGAAAAGACGCAACACAUCUUCAUGAAAUUCCCAAGACGAGUCCUCCGGUAUCGCUCCAUUCCAAGCGACCAGCCAUUGAUUUCUCUGUCUCGAUCUCACCCUGAAAAAUGGUACGUUUAUUAGAAUAAAUAACUUCUACUGUUUUUUUAGUUGAGUUUAAUAUUCUCAAAUACAAUUAAGUUUAUACAAUGAGUUAGUUGUUAGAGGUUAAUUAGUUUUAGAUACUCUUUCUUAUAAAUUCUUUUGUAAGACUGUAUUCUUGGUUAAUGAAUUAAGUUCUUUCUUUUGAGAUUAUUGUUGAAUUGAGCUUGAAACAAGCACCAAAAUCUUGGUACUCAAGACUGAGUGCAUUCCUAAUAUUAAAUGAAUUCACUAACAGUCUGGCAGAUACAUUAUUGUUUCAAAAAAAAGAUAAUAUUUUAAUUUGAGUAAUUGUGUAUAUAUAUAGAUGACAUUAUAAUUUCAAGAAACAACAACAUUGAAAUUGAAGUUUUUAUUAAAAAUCUUUGUACUGAAUUUAGAUGUAGAGACCUAGGACUUUUGAAAUAUUUCUUUAGUAUAGAAAUUAGAUACAAUUUUGAUGGGUCACUUAACAUGACUCAACCUAGAACUUUUGGACUGGUCCAUGUUCCGAUCUUUAAAUAUAAAAAGGGUUUUGUAAAUUUGAUUUUGGUUGUAAACACGAAUCAUCUUGUAGGGUUUCAGCGGGAAAUGAGGGUUUCACUGGAGGCAAGGGUUUGCUGGAGGCAAUCGUUCGGGUAUGUUUCUAGUCUUCUUCUUUUGUGCAUGUCGCUCUAUUCUUCUUGUGUAUGUUGUCUUUGGUUGGGUAUCCUUAUUCAUUUGUAUUCUUAAUGGGUUUUGUAGUGGGUGUUCUGUCUGUUAAUGUGUUUGCAUGUCAGUGUUUUCUUUCAUGGUGUUUGUUUUCCUUCAUCCUUUGUGUUUGUUUUCCUCUAUCAGUCUGUUCCGUGUAAGUUUUCCAUAUUCAGUUUCUUUUUGAGAUGAUUGAAUAGAUAUCCUGUAACAUCUUUUGUGAAGAUGUCUUCCACGUUUUCUUUGGUGUUUACCCUUUCUAUUUCAAUCUCUUUUUGCAAAGCUUUGUCUCUGAUCGUGUGUGUAUCGAUUUCUAUGUGUUUUGUUCUUUGAUGUAAGACUGGGUUUGUUGCGAUUGCAGUUGCAGAGGAACUAUUUGUAUAGAGUUUUGGAGUUACUAUAUUUACAUGCAUUUCCUUUAAUAGUUGUUUUAGCCAUGUGAUUUCACAAGUUGUGUGUGCUAAGGGUCGGUACUCUUCCUCUGCUGACGAUCUUGCCACUGUAUGUUGUUUUUUGGUUUGCCAUGAAACUAGGUUAUCAUUCAAGAAGAUGGCAAAUCCUGAUGUGGAUCGUCUGGUUGUGGGGCAAGAGGCCCAGUCAGAGUCUGAAAAUACUUUAAUCCUUCAGGUUCUUGUGCCUGAUGAGAAGAAAAGUCCACUUCCUGGUGAGUUUUUAAUGUAUCUUAAUAUUUUGUUCACCUUAGUAGAGUCUUCAUUUGUUGGUUCUGACAUGUGUUGGCUUAGUUGGUUUACUACAUAUGUUAUAUCGGGUUUGGUUACAGUUAGGUAGACAAGUUUUCCAACUAUGCAUCUGUACUCAGUAGGAUCAUCAAGUAAUUUAAUUUCCUUGUUCUGUUUGUUUGGCGAUCUUGAUGGUGUAUAGAGUGGGUAUUCUCCUGGUUUAGCAUGUAGAUAGUUGUUUUGUUCAAGGAUUUCUAAUUCAUAUUUUCUUUGGCUAAUAAAAAUCCCAUGUUGUGUUGUUGUGAAUUCUAAUCCUAAGAAUUUUUUUAAUGUUCCUAGAUCUUUGAUGUUAAAAAAACUGGUUAAAUCUGUCUUAAGUUUGAUUAUUUCUUUUAAGUUAUUUCCUGUGAUUAAUAGAUCAUCUACAUAUGGUAGGAUGAAAAUUUUAUUUUUCCCAUUGAUCUUACCGAAGAGAGCAUAAUCCUCUCUUGUCUGUUUAAAACCUAAUUUGUUUAGUACUUGUUGUAGUUUGUUAAACCACAUUCUAGAUAUUUGUUUUAAGCUAUAUAGAGGUUUUGUUAAUUUGCAUGCUAGUUUGUGGUUAUCUGUUGGUUCUUUGUUGAUCCUUAGACCUUGGAGAAUGUCCAUAUGUAGACUUCUUCAUUUAAGUCUCCAUGUAAGAAGGUGGUGAGACAUGCCUGAUUACGGCAGUCACUCCCAGCAACGCCUUUCAACAAGGACUAGAGUUCCGUCGCUUUACCCCCGGAAGGCUCCCACGGUGCGGAACAAGUUCAUCGUCAAAUCGCGAGUUAACCCAUAAAUCGCAAUUGGACUACCAAAUCGCCGAUUUUAGGGACAAAUCGUUGAGUUAGGUCCCAGAUAGGCAGUAUGGUAGACUGCAUAUCUCGCCCCUUGAAACUCGACUAGUUUACCCUAAUAGGCAAUUUUCAUACCUGAAUCGUCGAUUUACGACCGUUACUCGCCGCCAGCCAACGCCAUAAAUGCACCCAUAUAUGGCAAUAGGCGCGAUGUCCGCCUUUGAUCGCGCCCUCCGAGACCAUAUAAAAAGGGUCCCAAGGGGACACUCAAAGGCACAACACAAGUUCCACUCUCACCAGAGCACCACUAAGAGAAUCGCCGAUUCCCACACCAGAAUCGCCGAUUCUCUCCUUUCAGGUAUUUGACGUAGAGCGUGUGUCGUGGACUCCAGAGCCUCCGCGAGCCCUGGUAGCAGAUUCUGUGCUUCAUCAAUCCUUCAGUGGAUGCUAGGGAGAUAAGUGUUCUUAGUGUGGUCAUUCUAGAAACUGGUGCAAAAGUUUAUGUGCAGUCUAUCCCCUCUGUUUAGUUAUAGCCCUUGGCAACCAAUCUAGCUUUGAAUUUGUCUAGGCUUCCAUCAGCCUUAAGUUUUGUCUUAAAAACCCAUUUGCAAUCUAUGAUUUUUGUCUCUCUUGGUACUUCAGUGAUUCUCCAAGUGUUGUUUUGUUUUAGUGCAUUUAUUUCAUUGCUUCUUGCCAGUGUGAUACUUGGCUUGCUUUUUGUAAUUUUUAGGUUCUAUGUGUUCUGAAAUUUUAAUUAGAAAUGCUCUGUGUUUUUCCGAAAAUUUGUUGUAGUUGAUGUGGUUGCUUAUUGGAUAUUUUGUUGUGUUGUAACAAACGUAGUCAUCCAAUUUUGUGGGUCUCUUUCUCUCUCUUGUGGGUCUUUCAGGCUUUUCUCUCCUAUUGUUUCAUCUUCUACAUGGUUGUUUGAGUUUUCAGAGUUUUGGUUGUCAUGAUUUUGUUGAAUUGCUUGGUCUUGGAUUUGUGUUCUCAUUGUUGAACUUGAUUUCAGUAUCUAUAAGGAGGAUCCCAUUUUCCUUUUCUUCUAUGUUUUUGAAAGGGAAGAUAUUUUCAUGGAAUAUUACAUCUCGGUUGAUAAUUAUUUCAUUGUUUUUAAUAUCGAGAAUCUUGUAUCCUUUUGUUAAUGUAGAAUACCCUAGAAAUACCCCUUUUGUGGCUCUGGCCUCAAAUUUAUUUGUCGGUUUAUUGAUUUUUGAGUAGCAAAGACAUCCAAAUUUUUUGAGACUUUCAUAUGAUGGUUCUUUUUGGAAGAGUCUGAAAUAAGGGGUUUCAUUAUUGAUGGUUGGUGAGAACAUUCUAUUUAUGAGAUAGCAAGCAGUUUGGAUGCAUUCUCCCCAGUAAGUUGUUGGAACUUCAGAUUGGAAUAUUUAGCAUCUAGUUAUGUCUAGGAUGUGUUUGUGUUUUCUUUCUACUAUUGAGUUUUGUUAUGGGGUGUAGAGGCAAGUGAGUUGGUGUUUUAUUCCAAAGCCCUAUAGAAAGGUUUGGAGGUUUACGUUAAGGAAUUCAGUACCAUUAUCGGUUCUGAUUGUUUUCACAGAAGUGUCAAAUUGGUUGAUUGCUUUUGUGAUGAAAUGUUUUAGUUUUCCUGGUGUUUCCCCUUUAUUGUGUAAUAGUAUUAUCCAGGUGGCUCUACUAAAGUCAUCCACUAUGGUGAUGAAGUAGUGGUGACCAUUGUAUGUUGGUGUUCUGCAUCUUCCCCACAAGUCAAUAUGUAGUAAUUCAAAAAAAUUCGUAGUUUUGGAAGUACUUGUAGAAAAUGAUAAUCUAAUAAAUUUUGCAGUUGGACAUUCAUUACAUAAAAUAUUUUUAAACAUAGGAAUAGAUGGAUUGUUUUUCCUAAUUAGAUUGUAUCUCAAAAUUAAAGAAUGUCCUAGCCUUCUAUGCCACAGCUCUGCAUUUUUUUGAGCUGAAUUUACCCAUACUUGUCCUUCUUUCGUUUCUUCAGAUGAUAGGAUGUAGAGUCCUUUCCUUUUAACCAUAGAAAUCGAAUUCAUCUUCGAAUCCUGUAUUAGACAGUGGUUAUUAUAGAAAACGAAAAAGCAGUUAAUUGAAUUUGUCAGCUUUGUGACAGAGAUCAAAUUAACAUUGAAAUUUGAAAUUUUUAACAUUGGAUCUAGUGUUAAUUUUUCAUUCAGGGUGAAUGUUCCAACCUCGUGCAUAAUUGCUAUGUGAGAGUUUGGCAUAUGGACCUUAAUAGGAUGGUUAAGUAUCCUUAUGUUGGAUAGCUGGAUUACCGGACCACACAUGUGGUAUGUGGCUCCACUAUCUAUCACCCAUUCAUUUUGUCUAUUCACUGUUGAAAUGAAGCAGUAAGAUUGUGUACCUGAUUUUUCUAUGUCAUGGGUUGUAGAUCUUCCCACGUUUGCAGAGUGUUUAGGUUUGUUUUGUCAUUGUAGCAUGGACAUGAGUUGCUCAAUGGUGUAGCUUGGUUGUCCUUCUGAAUAAUUGACUCUAUUUCUUGUGGGGUUUCAUGGUGAUCUUCUUGGUUGUAGUUAUCUUGGUAAUUGUAGUCUUCCCAGUUUUGUUGUUCUUGUGGCUCUUCUGAAUCCUCAGUGUAUGUGUUGUUUGCCCUGUAGUUUGCCUAUUGUAAUUCCUGCCAUACUGGUUUUUGUUUUCCCUUCUUGGGUAGCUAUUUGUUGGAUUGUAGGGUCUGUUAGGUCUCCUGAAAUUUUGUGAGUUAUUUCCAUUGUUGUAUGUUUGCCUUUCAGGGUAUCCAUGUACUUGGUAGCAAUUGUCAACAGUGUGCCCUGAUCUUUUGCAAUGUGUACAGAAGGGCCUUUCUCUUAUCUCUGGUUUUGAUGGUUUGUAAGGGUCAUUUGCCAGUAAGGUUGUUGUUACCUCAGUUGUGGGUACUGUGUGAUUUCUUUGCUGUUAUUCUUGUUUGAUUAUAGGAUAUAAUUCACCAAGUUUUGGGGUCGAUUUCUGAGCCAUUAGGACACCUCUAAUUGUUGUGUAGGUUUCAUUCAGUCCCAUUAAGAAUUUUACUGAUCUUGCAAAUUCAUCAGGGGGGUUAAUGUCUUCUUUGUUGGUGUCAUAUGUGCUCUAGAUGAGUUUAGUCAGUUUGGUGUAGUAUGUGCAUACUGAGUCUUGUCCUUGGUAGAGUGUGUAUGUUUGUACUAGGACAUCAUAAAGCAUUGCACCAUUUGAUUGGUUGUAUCUGAUUGCCAAUUCAUCCCAUAAUAUCCAUGGUUUGCUAGCUGUGAGAAAAGAUGGUUGUAGCUCUGGUGUGAUGGAGCUUAGUAAUCAAGAAUGUAUCAUAGUGGUGCAGGCCUUCCAUUUUCUAUGUUCCUUUGAAUAUGUUUCUUGGUCUGGUUCUGGUAUGACUCCAAGUAGGAACCCUAAUUUUGAUCUACCUUCUACUGCCAUUUCAAAAUGCUUUUUCCAUACUGGAUAGUUAUUACCAUCCAGUUUAAUAGUUACCAUAAAAUGUGAAGAGAAUUCUGAACUGUAGAUGUCAUCCUCUUUUGUUUUUGUGCUUUGUAUGUUUUGAUCAUCAUAUUCAGACAUUUUCUGCAGAUUCAUAAUUAGCUAAUUACGUGGAGUUUGUAGAAGGCGAAAAUUCUAAGUAGCAAAUGUGAAUGUGGAAGUUAAUACUAAGGAGUGUGUUGACCACUUGAUGGUCGAGGAAGAUGUUGAUCCUCCUCCUGAUCCUACUGAAGAUGAGGCUACAAUGAUUCGUAGGGCUACUAGAAAGAGGAACAGGGAGGAAGGAGAAGUGUUCCACGAUCCUUUCACAGUGUGGAUGGAUGACUGCUGGAGGAAAGGUAUUUCCCCUGACCUUAAUAAUGCACCUAGGUAUCGUGAUUAUAAAUGGGAAAAUGAUGAUGAGCUUCCACCUUGAGAUGGUCGUUUUGAUGAAAUGUUUAAUUCAGAUACAGAAGUUAAUGGAGGUAUCUAUGGAUUUAGUGAAGAUUCUGAGGUUGAUCGUCUCUAUGAUCGUGAGAUGUUGGGAGUGAGUGUGGACAUUGUAAUUGUUAUAAGUGAUGAUGAUGAUGAUGCUGAGGAUAGUGAUGCUUGGUAAUCCUGAUUAUAUGGAGUUGAUCUUCGACACUUGAAAGAACUGAAGAAAGAGAAUAAGGGUAAUGUAGAGCCAGACUAUGAGAAGUGGCUCAAGAUGAUACUUAAGAAGAAAUCGAAGUGAGGAUUUUCCUCAUCUUUUUGAAGUAAAGAAAAAAAACUUUAUAUAUUUUGUUUUCUCUUUGAGAAUAAAUACUUUCCCUUUUUUUUAUUAACCUAUUACUUGGGUUUGUUUUACUAUGGGGAUCUCAAUCGCUCUGAUACCAUGUUAAGUUUUAAUGUGUAUGAAAUAUAAUCCAAGUAUGGUUUAAUGAUUAAUCCAGAGUAAAGCAAAAUAGUGUUGAUGCAGCGGAUAAUAUUGAUUGUUUAAUUUAUCUAAUGAGUAUGAUCAAGAUGUGUUGCAGGUAGAUAAUGUUUGACAGGGAUGAUAUAUAUAUGAUUUGUCCAAGUAGAAGCGGAGAUAUGUGUAUGCAAUAGAUAUCAGGUAUGAUAUAUAUAUGAAAUGUAAGCAGAUGAUUUAGCAAUACUGAGAUCGUUUGGAGAGCGAGGAGAUGACGAUGUAGGAGAGUCGAUGAUUGAGUGUAGAGCAGAUCGGAGUGAAGUUGAUGAUGACUUUGAUCCACAGAUGAUGAUUCCCAAAGGGAGUAUGAUUUUGAAACUUAGUAUCACAAACUGUAAAACAAUGUUAGGUUUGAGUUUGAUCUAUAUAGAUGGUUUAAAUGUUUGAUUCCAGCUUACAACGGUCAUAAGCUCAAGGUUCAACUGGCGCUUGUUGUCCUGUUGCUGAAGGCAAAGGUGACAUCAAGUGAUGGUUGGACCUUCCUAAGAUUUCUAUCAUAUUAAAGGUUUAGGUAUUAAAUUGAUCAUGUAAGGGUUUAGAUUGUAAAUUGGUUAAUGAGGGUUCAUAUUGUAAAUGUUGUAAUUAUGGAUUUAUGUAAUAAUUUUAUAGAAACCCAGUUAUCAAAAAUAUGUCAAAACAUAUUGAGAGUGACAUCCAUUACAUUAGAGAAUUAAUUACAAAUAGUUUAAUAGUAGGAAAAUCUCCAUCCCUGUUCCGGACUGAAAUCCCCGUCCAUUUCCCUGCCCCGGAUAAUAUUCGUACCGUGGUAAAUUAUAUUUAUACCUUAUAUAAUAUCUUAUAUAGUAUAAUUUAUAUAAAUAACCCUAUAUAAUAUAUUAAAUGCAUAGGUUUAUAUUCAAAAUGUAUCCAUAAAAAAUUUAUAUUUAACCCUAAAUCCCUAAAAAUUUAAUUUUUAACUAUUUGGAUGAAUUGUGAUUUAGAGAUAAUAAAUAUAAAUUUAGAAACUUCUUUUUUAAUUAAUGAAUCCUCGAUUAAUUUUUCACGAUAUUUUUCUUUAAAUUUUUUUUCAUAUCGAUUUUUAAUUAUAUACUAACACCACAAUUUUAGAUUUAAUUUUUAGAAUUAUUCUUUUUUUAUUCUUUAGCUGGUUAGUUGCAAUUUUCAGUUUGAAAAUAACCAUUUUAGAAUAGAAAUGAGCAUUUCUCUCUCUCUCACCCAUUUUUUUCUUUCAAAACAACUAUAUAAUCAUCGAUAGAUAUCAAUCAAUCUAUUGAAAGGAGAAAGAAGACGUGAGAUCUCGAUAGUUCUUUCGAAUUUUGAUUUUUCUUAGGUCAAGAAUGGUUCACGUAACCGAGAUGGAGGAAAACAAUUUAAGUGAGGUUGAUUGCUUUUCUUCUCAAAAUAAUUCGACCCAAGCAACCAAUUUUUUUCCACAGGUUUAUUUAUCAUUGUUUUAGAUUCUAAACAUUACAUUUGUUCUAUUUCCUUCUUAUUCUUUUUUCUUUUGUAUAUGACAAUUCUCUCAUUUCAUUUUAUAUUUUUAUUUAUCAGGGAUCAUCAACUCCAUUGUCUCAAAAUAAUUCGACCCAAAUAAUGAAUUCUUCUGGGCAGGUUUAUUUAUCAUUGUUUUAGAUUCUAAACAUUACAUUUAUUCUAUUUCCUUCUUAUUCUUUUUUUCUUUUGUAUAUGACAAUUCUCUCAUUUGAUUUUAUAUUUGUAUUUAUCAGAGAUCAUUAAGACCCCAAAAUAUACCUAGUAUUGAGCGUAACCGAAAUUCCCAUAGCCAUAGGCGUCGUUCCACACAAAAUCAUCAAUCUCGAAGACGUCAGCAAGUUGAUUGGGUUUCUUCAUUAAAGCAGUCGAUUGUUAUUCCUCCUUACCCUAUAAACCAAGCUAUUUAUCCUCCAUUUAAUGUUGUUCCUGCUCCCCUUCCGAUGGAAAUGAAUCAAUAUCCUUACCCAACAAAUUUUACUACUAGACAACCAUUCGUGAUGAAUUCUUGGCACGAUUGCAGAUAUCUACCAUUUCCUCGUCAUCAACCUUUUGGGUUUAAUCCUCUCAGUAACUUUUACAGACCACAAGAGCAUAACUCUAGUUGGACGUCAAUAAAUCCACAGAUACCUGGUAGACAUUUCAAUCAGGCACACCAACCUUAUCCAUUUUAUCCCUCAUGUAAUCCAUUCCAAAUGCGAAUUAUGAAUCAAAGACCUUAUUUUAUGAAUAUGCAAGCACCGGCAUUUAUACCAACUCAUGGAGUGUAUGGAAAUGAUUACAACCAGGGUACCACCCACUUCUUCUGAUUAUUUCUACCAAUUGCUAAUUUUAUCAUUCAUCAUUCAUAUAUAUUUAGGUAAUGCAGUUCAUUAUUCUGCACCAUUUGAAUCGUCGAAUCUUAAUGAUCUUCAAGAGUUGAAGACGAGUAUACGUGUUCAAAUUGAAUAUUACUUUGGGUAUAUAUCAUUUCAUAUAUGAGAUUUUUUUUUUUAAGUAUAUAUGUUUUUGUAACGUUUUCAUUGUAUUUUUAUAGAGAUACCAACUAUCCAACUGAUGAUCAUCUACACAAAAAAAUGGAUAAAGAAGGGUGGGUGGACAUAUCUGAAAUCGCACAAUUUAGAAUGGUGUGUUCAAAAUAUUUAUCGUUCUAGGAAGUUACAUAUUCUCAAUAUUUCCAACUAACAACUAUAUAUGCUUCAAUUGUGAUGUUACAGAUAAGAAGAAAAAAUGUUGAUUUAUCCCUUAUUUUAGAAUCUUUGAAAUCGUCAAAAAUGAUCGAAAUAAAGGUAAUUAUAAUACAUGUAAAAAUUAAAUUUCACUAUGACUAAUUAAGUGCUUGAUACAAUUUUAUUUAUCGAUCAUAAAGAGUAUAAUUUUUUAAAUGGUGUUGUAUAUUUAACAUUUAUGUUGUUUUUUGUUUAUAGGGAAAUAAGAUAAGAAAAAUCAUUCAUGAAAAAAUGCUUCCAUUACCUGAAACGACGACCGAUACAAGUCAAUGAUAAAGAGCUUAUCGGCCUCAAGAAGUUUUAACUUUAUUUUUAAUUUGAACCUUAUUAUCUGAUUUUUACAACAUUUAGUUAGCCAUUAAUAAUUGGUUAAGUGACAUUUCCACAGUUUGAUUUUUGGCUACAUUUCGUUAGCCAUUUUUUGUUUGAUUGUCAUUUCGUCAUUUUUAUGUUCGACCAGAUUUCGUUAACCAUUUUUUAGUUGUGUGUCUUUUUGCUGUUUGAUUUUUGGCUAUAUUUUGCUAGCCAUGUUUGAGUGAGCCUCAUUUUGGCUGUUUGUACUUUAUAGACUUCAUUUUAACAUUCUAAAUUGAAGAAUUGAAUUUUUUUUGUUAAUUAAUUUGAGGUUAUCAACUUUGAUACUUUUCUUUUAUCCAUGUAUUUUGGUUAAUAGCAAGAACCUAGUGAAGCUCAAAUAAAAAUUGCAAACGAUCAAGUGAAUGGAAAUAACAAAAUAAAUAAAUGUCAAAUACCACAAGAAAUACCAUAAGAACUGCAAAGCAAGGCAUAUUUGAAGGUGUUUCGAUCUGCAUCUUUCCUGUGACGGAAAGGAUAUACAAUGUGAGAAUUGAUUGAAACGCAACUUGUGUUGAAAUAUACUUACAGAUUCAAACGCAACUUGUGUUGAAUCCAUUACAACGGAAGUACAGAUAGACGAUAUCUAUUUGUUUGUUCUUUUGUAUUAUCGAUAUUUAUUGUCUAUUUUUUAUAAUGUUCUUGUCUAUUUUUAUAUUUACAGUCUAUGGUUUUUAGUCCUUGAUACUUGAUAGAUAUUUGAUAUCUAUUAUAUAUUUUAUCUAUUUUUGUGGUUUCUUUGUCGUUUUCUUUAUUGAUUUUUAUUCAUUCUUGUUCUAUUAAUAGGUUACCAAAUUCUUGUUCUAUUUGAAGAAGAGAGUUUCCCAUCUCUUACUCGGGUACCUUCUCCAAGUUAUAAGGAACCAGAUGGUGGCCAUUGAAUUGUUAGUCUACCUUCCUCCAUUGGAAUCUGAGGCAUAGAUGGACCGAAAGGGGAAUCAUCUAGCUUUAGAAGGGGGAGGAGAGCACGACUUGUGCUAGAAUUCUUCAAGAAAUUUGACAAAUUUACGCUUCUCAACCUUACUCAUGGCUCUCGCGUCUUGAUGUUUCAAGAGUUGCUCGUGGAGGGUACGUAAGGCUAUCCCCAACUGAAUCUUUGACUGGGGGAGAGAUGAUUCCGUCAGGGAAUUAAUGUAAAAAUUCGAAAAACAAACAGAUAACAUUAUUAUUAGAGGAAACGUUUCAAAUAAAAUAUUUAAAAUGAUAUAUUUUGUGAAAUAUUAAUUUAGAACGUUUAUUUAUUUUAAAUUAAAUGAAACACAUCUUAAGGUAGAUCAUAUCUCGAGGUUGUAUAUCUCAAUUUACUCCAAAUAAAUAUGUUAGAUUAAUAUCUCAU
rnacentral:lncRNA from 1 species